CCCCUUGUGGUGUAUUGGAUAUCACGUUCGGCUGUAAUGGGCUUACAUUGUUUGCCGAAAGGUCACCGGCUCGAUUCCGGUCGAGGGGA